rnacentral:rRNA from 1 species
CUGAAGUAGUCUCUGCUCCAUCUUACUUGAAAUAGCCGCAGUAUCUUGACUGUGCUAAGGUAGCAUAAUAAUUUGCCUUUUGAUUGAAGGCUGGCAUAAACGAGGUGACGGCACUAAAGCUUUCCUUGAGAUUUAAACUAGAACUUGAUAUCUGCUUCAAAAAGAGCAGCUUACCGGGGGGACGAUAAGACCCUGUAAAACUUUAUUUUAAAGUUAUUUAAUAAUUUUGAAAAGCAUUAAAUAACAUUCAAAAUUGAGCUGGGGCGGCAUUUAAUUUAACCUUAAUAAAUACAACAACUAUAGUUGACACUACAGAUCUCUUAAAAGAUUUAGAACAAGUUACUUCAGGGAUAACAGCACAAUUCUCCCGGAUAGACCGCAUAGAUGGGAGAGACUUGUGACCUCGAUGUUGAAUUGAAGGGCCAUAUCUGCGUAGCAGCAGUUAGAAGGGGGUCUGUUCGACCUUAAAAACUUC